ACGAUGGGCACCAAUAUACCCUGGCCCACCUGAAAGUCAACAGAGUCCCUAGAGAGAGCAUGAGAAUGAGAUGGGACAAGAGACACCGGAGAUGGAGACAAGACAGGAUUCUCAUCAAUUCUUGUUUAUUCAAGAGAAUAAUCCAGCGAGCAGGAUUGCUGGGACAAGCAAGCAGCCUUUCCCUGGAACAAUUGGAACUCAACGUGAUCAACUAAAUCAAUAAAAUAUAUGAAUUACAAAAGAAAUACUUGAAAUCCCUGAACAUCUUCACAUCGGCUCACUGCUUCUCUGGAAACUAACUUGUACAAAAAAUGCACAAAAAAAAGUAUGAAGGAGGUUUCUCAUUGACACCAGAAAGCUUGGCAUAACAGCUUGCCAUAACACCAGGCACCUCUCCCUACAUUUAUGCAGAAAAAUGCAAUCCUGAAUGAGGAACAGGUUUCAAAGUAUCAGCCAAAGCCAAAGAGACAAAUCCUUCUCCACUGCCUGUUCAAGUACUGGCAGUUCAAGCAUCACAACGAUGACAGAUAAACAGAGG